rnacentral:rRNA from 1 species
AUUGAACGCUGGCGGCAGGCCUAACACAUGCAAGUCGAACGGUAACAGGAAGCAGCUUGCUGCUUUACUGACGAGUGGCGGACGGGUGAGUAAUGUCUGGGAAACUGCCUGAUGGAGGGGGAUAACUACUGGAAACGGUAGCUAAUACCGCAUAACGUCGCAAGACCAAAGAGGGGGACCUUCGGGCCUCUUGCCAUCGGAUGUGCCCAGAUGGGAUUAGCUAGUAGGUGGGGUAACGGCUCACCUAGGCGACGAUCCCUGGCUGGUCUGAGAGGAUGACCAGCCACACUGGAACUGAGACACGGUCCAGACUCCUACGGGAGGCAGCAGUGGGGAAUAUUGCACAAUGGGCGCAAGCCUGAUGCAGCCAUGCCGCGUGUAUGAAGAAGGCCUUCGGGUUGUAAAGUACUUUCAGCGGGGAGGAAGGGAGUAAAGUUAAUACCUUUGCUCAUUGACGUUACCCGCAGAAGAAGCACCGGCUAACUCCGU